GCGGCGGUUACUAUAGUGGUGUUUUUCGCAGCAGUUGGGAAAAUGCCACUAAAAGUCUGUUUUGACGUAGUGUCUUUCUCUCUCUCUCAUUUCUUUUCUAUUAUUCCUUUUCUCUUCCUCAAUUUUCUUUAUCUUAACUUUCGGAGUAUAUCAAAGAGAAGAUGCAGCCAAAUCAGUUGAAGAAGGUUUAUCGUAUCCAGUUAAUCCAAGACAAGACUUCCAGGUUUGAUUGUUCAAGCAAUCGUAUUAAGGAACUUCCAUCCUCACUUGGAAACUGCUCAGAUUUAUCAGGUCUAAAGGUAUCGAAUAAUUUGAUAACAAGCUUGCCUGAAGAUCUUACAAACUUUUCGAAAUUGACAAAACUAGAUGUGGAGGUAUUUAAAGACAAUUAUUUUGUACAAUGUGACUGCUUUGGAGAGUCUUGUUGGAAGUUGCUGUUGUAAUUUUUUUUCUUUUUUUGAUUAUGGGGUUGCUGUUGUAAUUAAUUAUCAUUAAUGAUGUAUUUCAGAGCCUAAUUUAUGCAUUAUGUUCUAAUUGUGUCAGGGGAGCAAGUUAACAGCUUAAUCUGAGAAUUUGUUUGCAUCAUGUACAAUGCUUACAGAACUCAAUGCACCAAAGAACUUGCUGAGUGGUAUACCAGAGAACAUUGGAUGCCUUACACGUCUCAUCCAUCUUGAUCUUCACAAGAACAGAAUAAUGCACUGUCAAUUUUAACCUAGGAAUUAGGUGCCCUUUCUCGUUUAGGGACAUUGGAUCUUCUCUCAAACCAGUUAUUCAAGCACUUAACUACAAUCCUGGUGAUUAUCAGACAGCUGGAGGUUACCUAAGCAGCAGUUACACUCGUCAGACUACCACAUGGAAUGGGAGCAAUUCUGUAAAUUAUACUACUCAGCAGUAUUCAAAGUACACUCAAGAUUCAAGAGGGGCUUAUGCCGCUGGAACAGAAAUGGAUUUGUAUAGAAACUGUUAUCAAAGUAAUGCUAAAGGAUUUGCUUAAACGGGUAAAGGGAUAGGAAUGGAUUUUUAUAUAAACUGUUGUCAAAGUAAUGCUUGUUGUGCAUGUUGUGAUAAUAGUCCUGAUUCUAUUGCAUGCUUCCCUUUGAUA